rnacentral:rRNA from 1 species
UACGAAGGGGGCUAGCGUUGCUCGGAAUCACUGGGCGUAAAGCGCACGUAGGCGGAUUGUUAAGUCAGGGGUGAAAUCCCAGAGCUCAACUCUGGAACUGCCUUUGAUACUGGCGAUCUUGAGUCCGGAAGAGGUGAGUGGAACUCCGAGUGUAGAGGUGAAAUUCGUAGAUAUUCGGAAGAACACCAGUGGCGAAGGCGGCUCACUGGUCCGGUACUGACGCUGAGGAGCGAAAGCGUGGGGAGCGAACAGG